AACGCACAUUGCGCCCAUUAGUAUUCUAGUGGGCAUGCCUGUUCGAGCGUCAUUUCAACCCUUAAGCCUAGCUUAGUGUUGGGAAUCUACUUUAUUGUAGUUCCUCAAAUCCAACGGCGGAUCUGUGGUAUCCUCUGAGCGUAGUAAAUUUUUAUCUCGCUUUUGUUAGGUGCUGCAGCUCUCAGCCGCUAAAACCCCCAAUUUUUUGUGGUUGACCUCGGAUCAGGUAGGAAUACCCGCUGAACUUAA
rnacentral:misc_RNA from 1 species